CAGGUUGGAUAUCAGGGAUGGUCAGGUUGGAUAUCAGGGAUGGUCAGGUUGGAUAGCAGGGAUGGUCAGGUUGGAUAGCAGGGAUGGUCAGGUUGGAUAUCACGGAUGGUCAGGUUGGAUAUCAGGGAUGAUCAGGUUGGAUAUCACGGAUGGUCAGGUUGGAUAUCAGGGAUGGUCAGGUUGGAUAUCAGGGAUGGUCAGGUUGGAUAUCAGGGAUGGUCAGGUUGGAUAUCAGGGAUGGUCAGGUUGGAUAUCAGGGAUGGUCAGGUUGGAUAUCAGGGAUGGUCAGGUUGGAUAUCAGGGAUGGUCAGGUUGGAUAUCAGGGAUG